rnacentral:rRNA from 1 species
AGUUUGAUCCUGGCUCAGGAUGAACGCUAGCGGCAGGCUUAACACAUGCAAGUCGAGGGGUAACAUUGUAGCUUGCUACAGAUGACGACCGGCGCACGGGUGCGUAACGCGUAUAGAACCUACCUUUUACAGAGGGAUAGCCUUUAGAGAUGAAGAUUAAUACCUUAUAGUAUUGAGACUUGGCAUCGAGUUUUAAUUAAAGAUUUAUCGGUAAAAGAUGGCUAUGCGUCCUAUUAGUUAGUUGGUAAGGUAACGGCUUACCAAGACUUCGAUAGGUAGGGGCCCUGAGAGGGAGAUCCCCCACACUGGUACUGAGACACGGACCAGACUCCUACGGGAGGCAGCAGUGAGGAAUAUUGGACAAUGGGCGCAAGCCUGAUCCAGCCAUGCCGCGUGCAGGAAGACUGCCCUAUGGGUUGUAAACUGCUUUUAUACAGGAAGAAUAAGCCUUACGUGUAAGGUGAUGACGGUACUGUAAGAAUAAGGACCGGCUAACUCCGUGCCAGCAGCCGCGGUAAUACGGAGGGUCCAAGCGUUAUCCGGAAUUAUUGGGUUUAAAGGGUCCGUAGGUGGAUAAUUAAGUCAGGGGUGAAAGUUUGCAGCUCAACUGUAAAAUUGCCUUUGAUACUGGUUAUCUUGAAUUGUAUUGAAGUAGGCGGAAUGUAGCAUGUAGCGGUGAAAUGCAUAGAGAUGCUACAGAACACCGAUCGCGAAGGCAGCUUACUAAACCGAUAUUGACGCUCAGGCACGAAAGCGUGGGGAGCGAACAGGAUUAGAUACCCUGGUAGUCCACGCCGUAAACUAUGAUCACUCGUUGUUGGCAAUACACAGUCAGUGACCAAGCGAAAGCGAUAAGUGAUCCACCUGGGGAGUACGAUCGCAAGGUUGAAACUCAAAGGAAUUGACGGGGGCCCGCACAAGCGGUGGAGCAUGUGGUUUAAUUCGAUGAUACGCGAGGAACCUUACCUGGGCUCAAAUGUAAGUUGACAGUUUCUGAAAGGGAAUUUUCUUCGGACAAUUUACAAGGUGCUGCAUGGUUGUCGUCAGCUCGUGCCGUGAGGUGUCGGGUUAAGUCCCAUAACGAGCGCAACCCCUACUCUUAGUUGCCAUCAGAUAAUGCUGGGGACUCUAGGAGAACUGCCUACGCAAGUAGAGAGGAAGGUGGGGAUGACGUCAAAUCAGCACGGCCCUUACGUCCAGGGCUACACACGUGCUACAAUGGCCGGUACAGAGGGCAGCCACCUGGUGACAGGGAGCGAAUCUCUAAAGCCGGUCUCAGUUCGGAUCGAAGUCUGCAACCCGACUUCGUGAAGCUGGAAUCGCUAGUAAUCGCGCAUCAGCCAUGGCGCGGUGAAUACGUUCCCGGGCCUUGUACACACCGCCCGUCAAGCCAUGGAAGCUGGGGGUACCUGAAGUCGGUGACCAUUUAGGAGCCGCCUAGGGUAAAACUAGUGACUGGGGCUAAGUCGUAACAAGGUAACC